rnacentral:rRNA from 1 species
GAUGAACGCUGGCGGCGUGCCUAAUACAUGCAAGUCGAGCGAACGGACGAGAAGCUUGCUUCUCUGAUGUUAGCGGCGGACGGGUGAGUAACACGUGGAUAACCUACCUAUAAGACUGGGAUAACUUCGGGAAACCGGAGCUAAUACCGGAUAAUAUUUUGAACCGCAUGGUUCAAAAGUGAAAGACGGUCUUGCUGCCACUUAUAGAUGGAUCCGCGCUGCAUUAGCUAGUUGGUAAGGUAACGGCUUACCAAGGCAACGAUGCAUAGCCGACCUGAGAGGGUGAUCGGCCACACUGGAACUGGGACACGGUCCAGACUCCUACGGGAGGCAGCAGUAGGGAAUCUUCCGCAAUGGGCGAAAGCCUGACGGAGCAACGCCGCGUGAGUGAUGAAGGUCUUCGGAUCGUAAAACUCUGUUAUUAGGGAAGAACAUAUGUGUAAGUAACUGUGCACAUCUUGACGGUACCUAAUCAGAAAGCCACGGCUAACUACGUG